rnacentral:rRNA from 1 species
GAUGAACGCUGGCGGCGUGCCUAAUACAUGCAAGUCGAGCGAACAGACGAGGAGCUUGCUCCUCUGACGUUAGCGGCGGACGGGUGAGUAACACGUGGAUAACCUACCUAUAAGACUGGGAUAACUUCGGGAAUCCGGAGCUAAUACCGGAUAAUAUAUUGAACCGCAUGGUUCAAUAGUGAAAGACGGUUUUGCUGUCACUUAUAGAUGGAUCCGCGCCGCAUUAGCUAGUUGGUAAGGUAACGGCUUACCAAGGCAACGAUGCGUAGCCGACCUGAGAGAGUGAUAGGCCACAUUGGAAGGUAGCCACGGACCAGACUACUGCGGGAGGCACCAGAAGGGAAUGUUACGCAAUGGGCGAGAGCUUGGCAGAACAGCGCCACGUGAGUGAUGACGGUCCUCGGAUCGUAAAACUCGGUUAUUAGGGAAAAACAAAUUUGUAAGUAACUAUGCACGUCUUGACGGUACCUGAUCAGAAAGCCACGGCUAACUACGUG